CGACCGUGGCGGCGUGCUUACCAUGCAGUCGAACGAUGAUGCCAGCUUGCUGGUGGAUUAGUGGCGAACGGGUGAGUAACACGUGAGUAACCUGCCCUUGACUCUGGGAUAAGCCUGGGAAACUGGGUCUAAUACCGGAUAUGACCUUCCAUCGCAUGGUGGUUGGUGGAAAGCUUUUGUGGUUUUGGAUGGACUCGCGGCCUAUCAGCUUGUUGGUGGGGUAAUGGCCUACCAAGGCGACGACGGGUAGCCGGCCUGAGAGGGUGACCGGCCACACUGGGACUGAGACACGGCCCAGACUCCUACGGGAGGCAGCAGUGGGGAAUAUUGCACAAUGGGCGCAAGCCUGAUGCAGCGACGCCGCGUGAGGGAUGACGGCCUUCGGGUUGUAAACCUCUUUCAGUAGGGAAGAAGCGUAAGUGACGGUACCUGCAGAAGAAGCGCCGGCUAACUACGUGCCAGCAGCCGCGGUAAUACGUAGGGCGCAAGCGUUAUCCGGAAUUAUUGGGCGUAAAGAGCUCGUAGGCGGUUUGUCGCGUCUGCCGUGAAAGUCCGGGGCUCAACUCCGGAUCUGCGGUGGGUACGGGCAGACUAGAGUGAUGUAGGGGAGACUGGAAUUCCUGGUGUAGCGGUGAAAUGCGCAGAUAUCAGGAGGAACACCGAUGGCGAAGGCAGGUCUCUGGGCAUUAACUGACGCUGAGGAGCGAAAGCAUGGGGAGCGAACAGGAUUAGAUACCCUGGUAGUCCAUGCCGUAAACGUUGGGCACUAG
rnacentral:rRNA from 1 species